UGCCAGAUAGCUCAGUUGGUAGAGCACCUGACUAGAGAUUCAGAAGUACCAUGUUCAAAUCACAGUCUGGCUG
rnacentral:tRNA from 1 species